AUACGGAGGGUGCAAACGUUGCUCGGAAUCAUUGGGCGUAAAGCGCACGUAGGCGGCUUGAUAAGUCGGAUGUGAAAGCCCUCGGCUUAACCGGGGAAGUGCAUUCGAAACUGUCAGGCUUGAGUAUGGGAGAGGGUUGCGGAAUUCCCGGUGUAGAGGUGAAAUUCGUAGAUAUCGGGAGGAACACCAGCGGCGAAGGCGGCAGCCUGGACCAAUACUGACGCUGCGGUGCGAAAGCGUGGGGAGCAAACAGGAUUAGAAACCCCAGUAGUCC
rnacentral:rRNA from 1 species